rnacentral:rRNA from 1 species
GAGGAACACCAAUGGCGAAGGCAGCCCCCUGGGAUAACACUGACGCUCAUGUACGAAGCGUGGGUAGCAAACAGGAUUAGAUACCCUGGUAGUCCACGCCCUAAACGAUGUCAACUAGUUGUCGGGCCUUACUAGGCUUGGUAACGAAGCUAACGCGUGAAGUUGACCGCCUGGGGAGUACGGUCGCAAGAUUAAAACUCAAAGGAAUUGACGGGGACCCGCACAAGCGGUGGAUUAUGUGGAUUAAUUCGAUGCAACGCGAAAAACCUUACCUACCCUUGACAUGUAGCGAAUUUUCUAGAGAUAGAUUAGUGCCUUCGGGAACGCUAACACAGGUGCUGCAUGGCUGUCGUCAGCUCGUGUCGUGAGAUGUUGGGUUAAGUCCCGCAACGAGCGCAACCCUUGUCAUUAAUUGCCAUCAUUUAGUUGGGCACUUUAAUGAGACUGCCGGUGACAAACCGGAGGAAGGUGGGGAUGACGUCAAGUCCUCAUGGCCCUUAUGGGUAGGGCUUCACACGUAAUACAAUGGCUCGUACAGAGGGUUGCCAACCCGCGAGGGGGAGCUAAUCUCAGAAAGCGCGUCGUAGUCCGGAUCGGAGUCUGCAACUCGACUCCGUGAAGUCGGAAUCGCUAGUAAUCGCGGAUCAGCAUGUCGCGGUGAAUACGUUCCCGGGUCUUGUACACACCGCCCGUCACACCAUGGGAGUGGGUUUCACCAGAAGCAGGUAGUCUAACCGUAAGGAGGGCGCUUGCCACGGUGAGAUUCAUGACUGGGGUG